rnacentral:tRNA from 1 species
GAGGGUAUAGCUCAAGUGGUAGGGUGCAUGCUUAGGAUGUACAAGGUCCUGGGUUCAAUCCCUAGUACCUCCU